rnacentral:rRNA from 1 species
CUCAAAGGAAUUGACGGGGGCCCGCACAAGCGGUGGAGCAUGUGGUUUAAUUCGAUGAUACGCGAGGAACCUUACCUGGGCUUAAAUGUAGGAUGCCAGUCCCCGAAAGGGGAUCUUCCUUCGGGACGUCUUACAAGGUGCUGCAUGGUUGUCGUCAGCUCGUGCCGUGAGGUGUCGGGUUAAGUCCCAUAACGAGCGCAACCCCUAUCAUUAGUUGCCAUCAGGUCAAGCUGGGGACUCUAAUGAAACUGCCUACGCAAGUAGUGAGGAAGGUGGGGAUGACGUCAAAUCAGCACGGCCCUUAUGUCCAGGGCUACACACGUGCUACAAUGGCCGGUACAGAGGGUCGCUACCUGGUGACAGGAUGCUAAUCUCGAAAGCCGGUCUCAGUUCGGAUUGGAGUCUGCAACUCGACUCCAUGAAGCUGGAAUCGCUAGUAAUCGCACAUCAGCCAUGGCGCGGUGAAUACGUUCCCGGGCCUUGUACACACCGCCCGUCAAGCCAUGGAAGUUGGGGGUACCUAAAGUCCGUAACCGCAAGGAGCGGCCUAGGGUAAAACCAAUGACUGGGGCUAAGUCGUAACAAGGUAUCCGUA